GUAACUAGGGGGAUGUUCUAGUUUUCCUAUUUCUAUGUUUUGUUUUGUUGUAUAGUUCCCAAUUAGAGGCAGCUAAUUGUUGUCUCUAAUUGGGGAUCAUACUUAAGUUCUCCAUUGUUCCCACCUGGGUUGUGGGAUAUUGUUUGUAUGUGCUUGUUGCACCAGCACCGGCUGCUUCUUGAUCAAUGAGACCCGACUGCAGUGUGGAAAUGGCAGAGCGCUCCCAGUGAGGACCACUACUGCUUAGGACUGAUGCUUAUUGGGCUGUGGCAGAGGCAUCGCCCAAGUGUGUGCUGGACGUUGGACGUGGAGGAGAAUGAAGUCCAGGCUACAUCGAGGCUGAGCUGAGGACGACAUCAGGGUCAGCAAGCCAACUCCGUCAGCAUCAUCUGGCAUCCCAGGCUACAGAGAGGCCAAAGAUAAUAUCAGAACCGACAAGCCAUCUGCAUCAUCAUCAUCAUCUGGCGUCCCCUGACGUCGCCAUAAUUAAACCAUCAUUUAACUUGGUUUCGGAGCCUUAGAUCGCUGAUCUACUGAGGGAAUCCUGACAUUGUUUUAUUAUGUGAUAUAUGUGUAACCAAAGUAUGGCUAGUAGGCUAGGUCUACUGUGUAGCCUAGACCUACUAUGUUUAAGUGUGCAAUGUUUAUUUCAUACAUUUUCAAACUUUUUUUUGUGUCAUCCUUGAUGAUUUUAAAUGCAUUAUCCACAUGUGUGGUUGUAUUGUGUUUUAAAAUGGUCAAAUAAAUGUCUAUCAACUACA